rnacentral:tRNA from 1 species
GGAGGGGUUCCCGAGCGGUCAAAGGGGGCAGACUGUAAAUCUGUUGGCUCCGCCUUCGGAGGUUCGAAUCCUCCCCCUCCACCA